rnacentral:rRNA from 1 species
AACGAACGCUGGCGGCAUGCCUAACACAUGCAAGUCGAACGAGACCUUCGGGUCUAGUGGCGCACGGGUGCGUAACGCGUGGGAACCUGCCCUUAGGUUCGGAAUAACUCCCCGAAAGGGGUGCUAAUACCGGAUAAUGUCUUCGGACCAAAGAUUUAUCGCCUUUGGAUGGGCCCGCGUUGGAUUAGCUAGUUGGUAGGGUAAAAGCCUACCAAGGCGACGAGCCAUAGCUGGUCUGAGAGGAUGAUCAGACACACUGGGACUGAGGCACGGCCCAGACUCCUACCGGAGGCAGCAGUGGGGAAUCUUGGACACUGGGCGAGAGCCUGAUCCAGCCAUGCCGCGUGAGUGAUGAAGGCCUUAGGGUUGUAAAGCUCUUUUACCCGGGAUGAUAAUGACAGUACCGGGAGAAUAAGCGCCGGCUAACUCCGUG